rnacentral:misc_RNA from 1 species
UUUUCGUAGGUGAACCUGCGUAAGGAUCAUUACAGAGUUCAUGCCCUACCGGGUAGAUCUCCCACCCUAUGUUAUUAUUACUUUGUUGCUUUGGCGGGCCGUUAGGCUCCGGCCCGACUACCGGCCCCGGCUGGUAAGCGCCCGCCAGAGGACCCAAAACCCUGAAUAUUAGUGUCGUCUGAGUACUAUAUAAUAGUUAAAACUUUCAACAACGGAUCUCUUGGUUCUG